CAGCCGCCGCGGUAAUUCCGGCGGCCCGAGUGGCGGCCACUAUUAUUGGGCUUAAAGCGUCCGUAGCCGGGUUGGUUAGUCUCCCGGGAAAUCUGGCCGCUUAACGGUCAGAAUUCCGGGAGAUACUGCCAGCCUAGGGACCGGGAGAGGCCGAGGGUAUUCCCGGAGUAGGGGUGAAAUCCUAUAAUCCCGGGAGGACCACCUGUGGCGAAGGCGCUCGGCUGGAACGGGUCCGACGGUGAGGGACGAAGGCCAGGGGAGCAAACCGGAUUAGAUACCCGGGUAGUCCUGGCGGUAAACGAUGCGGACUUUGUGUCGGACAAGCUAUGAGCUUGUCCGGUGCCGGAGGGAAACCGUUAAGUCCGCCGCCUGGGGAGUACGGCCGCAAGGCUGAAACUUAAAGGAAUUGGCGGG
rnacentral:rRNA from 1 species